GCGGAGGAUGCUGGGAGUGGCCCAGGGAGCUCGCUCGCUCGCGGGAGCCCGCGGCCCGGCCCCGCCCGGCCCGUAGUGACGCUGCGGCAGGCUCGCGCAGGGCAGAGGCCGCGGGGCUCUGAGCUCGUUGCGGGGCUCGCGCGCUCGCCCAGGGCCCGGAGCCGCUGGGCCGGAGACAGACGCGCAGCGAGCCCCGCCCCGCCCCCAGCGAACCCCGGCCGGGCAGCGGCGCGCUCGGAGCCGCCCGGCAGCAGAGGCCUGAGGGCGCCUGGCCGGGGCGGAGCCUGGCCGGGCGGCGGCGGCGGCUCCAGCCAUUGUCCGCGUGGAGCCGAGCCCCAGGGCUGAUCACGCAGCGCCGCGCAAGGGGACACGCCUGGCGCCUCUCCCCCGCUCCAAACCGGGGAGAGAGGUUUCCUCGGGCCCCCUCCCCGGGAGAUCCGUCACUCCCUCCGCCUCCGCCCUGGGCCAGGUGUCACGGAAUCGCGGGGCUGGCAGGGCCCUCAGGAGCUCAUCGAGUCCAAUUUUUGCCCCAGAUCCCUAAACGGCCCCCUCCAGCAUUGAACUCACAACCCUGGGUUUAGCAGGCCAGUGCUCAAACCACUGAGCUAUCCCGCCCCCCUAGCUUAUGCAGCCCAGGCACAAAUACACAGGCGUGGAUGCAAACAUCUGACCGUGCCCGCAUCACCCCUACGGAGCCCCCCUUGCUCCGGGCCCAGGGCGUGAGCCUGGGAGGGACGGAGGAGCGUGGUGAGGCAGGGAAGGAGUGGAGAUGGGCAGUGUCCAUCUCUACUGGUGUUAGGCACCAUCUGUGGCUGACGGUAAGUUGUUUGGCUCCCUCACUCUAGUGCGGGGGCAGGGGAAAUACACAAGAGGAGUCAGAAGGAUAGUUGCGCUGCCAUCCGCCCAGAGAUGAAGCCCCUUCCCAACAGGCCCUGGGGUGAUCAAUAUCCACCUCUAAGCCAUGGUGAUCUGGCCUGCAAGGGAGCUCCAGGAUUCACAUGGGCAGCAACAGCCUGGAUAGUUCCAGUCCAAGUGCCAGCCGCAGGGGAAUACAAGGAAAGCACCAUAUGCCUGCUGCAUCUGUGACAGGAAACUUUCCUCUGAUGGCUCUGAAGAGUCUCUGGUUCUUAGCCACAGCUGUGCAUGGGAGCCUGGCAGCCAUGAUUCAGUGCCCCCCUCCUCUACCUUCCCUAUAUGACAUUACUUUCCUCUUUCACUUCAGAAGUGCAUGCCCUCGUCUCUAUACCCAGGCAUUACUCAGAAACACAACCAUCCCGCAGAGAUUCCCAUGUUUUACCUCCCCUUGGAUUUUAUUCUCUUAGCCCAGGCCAAGGCUCUGUGUUCGAAACAGGACAGAUGAGUCAUUUAGUGGGAACGCCAAGCAGCUGCCUCUAGAUUCUGUGGACCUCAAACAAGUGUCAUUAUUUCCAGAGACCACUCCUCAUCCCUAAAGCAAACAAGGAGCUGAAGACAGGUGCACAGAGGAAAAAGCAGAGAGAUUUGGCCACUCAUAUGGCAGGGAGCAGACAGGGAGAGUUUUCUGAAGCUGGAGGGAGAGACAGUUCCUCACGGGAACACACUUAUCACCUUGGAACAGACACCAGGCAUGGAACUGCUCAGAGUCCAAUCUCACAAGGGGGAAGCCAGGGCAGGAAACAGCACAUGAGGCGGGGGGGGGGACAUGACAACCUGCAACACCCCUGACAAUCCUAACUUCUGACUGGAUGAAAAUGAGCCUGACAGCUACCUCUUCCCUGGCUUGGCCAGCAAAUCCUGGUCCCCACACACUGCAAGUUGCUGGAGAGGGUCUCAGAACUGCCUGUCCAAAGACAAAAGCAGAGAAACCCCAAUAGAAAGAAUAACUCCCCUGCCAGCUCCUGGAUAGGGGUCUCACACCCAGUGCAGGGAGUCCUGCGGAGGCAACAUUGCCCCAAGGGGAAUGGAACACUCAGACCACGCGGUAGGGACCCUCCCUCCCUGAUGGGGGUAGCAUGGGCAAGGGCUCUUGGGAAGUCAUUCGCUCUAUUGUUUAUUAGAGGAUACAAGAGAAAAAACAAGCCACAUCCCAUAUCAGCACAUCUGAAGGGAGGGGCCGCACAGUAAUGACCACCUCUGCUCUUUAAAUAUAGACACGGCCACAGACUGAAAUGUGUUUUCUUCCAUCAGCUGUAACUGCACAGCGCAAAGCUGGGCAAAGGAGCCUGGUGACAGGAGUGAUGCUCAGGGCCCACCUUGCUGAAGGAAUCAGAGUGAAAUGGGGAGGGGGAAAGGCUGGGGCCCAAGGGCACAUCUGGGAAAAUCAGAGCCACAGCUCACAUCAGUUACUGCAACACUUUAUUGAUCAGUGUUGUGUACAGCUAGGUACAUGACAAAGUAAAGCCAGCCUGUGGGAAAGCCAUACAAGCAGCAACUUUCCAGACUCGGUCAUGUUUUGCCUACGUCGUCUCACUGGAAUAAGCCAACAAGAAACCAACACAGGUAGGAGACUAUUCCCCCAUCCCCAACUUGUAUCCCUGCCAAUCAUGCCUGUCUUUUAGCAUUAGAUCCAAGAAGCAGCGCCAGUCACUGCAGAAGAGGAAUGGCUCUGAUGCUCCCUCCCUCGAUCAGCUAUGUCCUUGGGCAGCUUAACUAGACACAUUCCCAGCUUCUAUGGGCUGCUUUCCCCCAAACGGAUUCAUUCCUGAGUGCGCUGAUCACACUGGUUACGGUCAGCGAUCAUCCAGCCAGGAAUGCUCACGCACUGCUGGGCCUAAGGGGACCCAGCUACUGACUGUCCUUGCGGCACAGCACCUGGCAAGCACACACCUGGAGCCACCAGCCCAAGUGGAUUAGCAGCAAGGGCCUGCUACACCCAGCAUCUGACAAUGCCAGUUUGCCUCUAGCACCACAUCCCUACUCAAGGAGACAAUCCCUGUAUCCCUUAUUGACGAUGUCAGGUGCACUGGCACCCAGAAACACAGGCUCAUAAGAGAUGUGCCUGGAAACAUCAGCAGGAACAACCUGCCUGCCUGCCACGUAGAAGUCAGCAACCCAAGGCCAAAGCAGGGCAGCUGCUACUCAUCUCUAGACUGGGCAGUUACAUCAAAGAGCAAGGCUCUCAGCACCGUAAGCUGUGUGUACUGCAGAAAGGCUGUUCCCAACACUCAGGCCCUUGCUCCCUCCCAGCCGAAUUUAGCAAUAGGGAUAAGGAUGAAGCCAGCUUCCCACGCCCACACUGACAUGUGGGAACAGUCGACACCCAGAGCAAUCCCCUUAUCAGUUAUACCCAUAGCAAAGACAACCCCACCAGCUUUAAUCUUUUAACUCUCUAAGCACCACACAGGUUGCAGGUUCCACAUUCAGUGCCAGGGAAAUGAGAUGAAGGGAUCGAUGCCAGGUAACCACUGCUAUUUAAAUUGUGUUUGUUUCUGUCUAUCCCCCGCACACGUACCUAUUCAUCUGCAGAUGCUGAGCGAGUCACUCUUAUUCCAUCUAGGAAGGUUAUUUAUACAAUUGCAAAUGACAGGAAAUAGCUAAGGACCUGACCAGCAGCAGCACUGCUCUUCAGACUCCAGAGAAAGGGACAGCAGAGGAGAGGGAAUGUUUGGGGGCAUGGCCGAACUCAAACGAUCACCUGAUGUGGGGGGGGGGGGGGGAGAGAAGGGGGGCUACAUACACACUUUCUGCUCAUGCAGGUUUCCCAUUGGCAAGGGUGCAAGGACGGAAGACUUCUUGUUAUCUGACUGCAACUCGGCACUCCAGGUCUCAGCAGUGUCUGAAAACUACUGCUCUGAUUUCCCUGUGCACGGACCUUCCCUGAUCAUUAUCCCCACCCAGAAACAGCUGGAUUUAGGGCUUAAUGCUGUUCACCCUUUGCACCCAUUUGGUUAGCACCCAUUGGCAGCAAUUCAGGGCAGAGCCUGGCAAGCAACACUGCUCCAAAUGGUGCACUCCACACACUGGCUAACAAGCUUCUCCAGCAGGCGUUUGCUAAACCCAGUGAAGCAUUUGCAUUCCAGGGGUGGCAGCACCUUACUGACAUGGCACAGCCAGCUCACACCUCCUCAGGCGCAGAGGUUUGGGCUGAUGGAGCUUUGCACAGACUGGGGCAAGCUGGCCGUGAGACUGAAUGCCUUGGUGUACAAAGGAAGAUGGGCUACAACUAGAAGGGCCAGUUUAUUAAAGAGAAACCUCACAUCCCAGAGAAUUCAAACACAUUUGGAAAGGGCCCAGCCCGGCUGAGUGGGCCCAUCUUCCACAGCAGCACAGUUCUAAACCCCCCAAGCUUGGGCACCAGCCAGCACCAGGGGGAAGAAAGGAUCCACUAAUACAGCUUAUGAUGCUUGCAAAUAGCCUGAAAGAGUCAGU